CAUUGAAACACUUAUUCCCAUACGAUCACCAAAGUUAAGCAACGUCGAGCCUGGUCAGUACCUAGAUGGGUGACUGAUUGGGAAUAGCAGGUGCUGUAUGC
rnacentral:rRNA from 1 species